UACGUAGGUGGCAAGCGUUGUCCGGAUUUACUGGGCGUAAAGGGUGCGUAGGUGGAUAUUUAAGUCAGAUGUGAAACCCCCAGGCUCAACUUGGGAACUGCAUUUGAAACUGGAUAUCUGGAGUGCAGGAGAGGUAAGUGGAAUUCCUAGUGUAGCGGUGAAAUGCGUAGAGAUUAGGAAGAACACCAGUGGCGAAGGCGACUUACUGGACUGUAACUGACACUGAGGCACGAAAGCGUGGGUAGCAAAC
rnacentral:rRNA from 1 species